rnacentral:rRNA from 1 species
CCUACGGGGGGCAGCAGUGGGGAAUAUUGCACAAUGGGGGAAACCCUGAUGCAGCGACGCCGCGUGAGUGAAGAAGUAUUUCGGUAUGUAAAGCUCUAUCAGCAGGGAAGAAAAUGACGGUACCUGAUUAAGAAGCCCCGGCUAACUACGUGCCAGCAGCCGCGGUAAUACGUAGGGGGCAAGCGUUAUCCGGAUUUACUGGGUGUAAAGGGAGCUUAGACGGGCGGUCAAGUCAGCUGUAAAAUCGCGCGGCUCAACCGCGCCCCGCAGUUGAAACUGGACGCCUUGAGUUCACAACAGGCAGGCGGAAUUCGUGGUGUAGCGGUGAAAUGCAUAGAGAUCACGAGGAACCCCGAUUGCGAAGGCAGCCUGCCGGGGUGCGACUGACGCUGAGGCUCGAAGGUGCGGGUAUCAAACAGGAUUAGAUACCCCAGUAGUC